UGCACUCCAUAGGACUGGGCCUUGGU
rnacentral:piRNA from 1 species